GACGAACGCUGGCGGCGUGCCUAACACAUGCAAGUCGAACGGGCUCCGGGGCAACUCGGAGUCAGUGGCGGACGGGUGCGUAACACGUGAGGAACAUGCCUAUCGGCGGGGGGUAGCCGGUCCAACGACCGGGUAAUACCGCGUACGACCUUUGGGUGGCAUCACCUGGGGGUGAAAGCAGCAAUGCACCGAUAGAGUGCCUCGCGGCCUAUCAGCUAGUUGGUGGGGUAAUGGCUCACCAAGGCGACGACGGGUAGCUGGUCUGAGAGGAUGACCAGCCACAUUGGGACUGAGACACGGCCCAGACUCCUACGGGAGGCAGCAGUGGGGAAUAUUGCGCAAUGGGCGAAAGCCUGACGCAGCGACGCCGCGUGUGGGAUGACGGUCUUCGGAUUGUAAACCACUGUCGGGAGGGACGAAGCUCUGACGGUACCUCCAAAGGAAGCACCGGCUAACUCUGUGCCAGCAGCCGCGGUAAUACAGAGGGUGCAAGCGUUGUCCGGAAUCACUGGGCGUAAAGGGCGCGUAGGCGGCCUGAUAAGUCGGGGGUGAAAUUCUGCGGCUUAACCGCAGGACGGCCUUCGAGACUGUCGGGCUUGAGCACGGUAGAAGG
rnacentral:rRNA from 1 species